rnacentral:rRNA from 1 species
GGGUGAGUAAUGUCUGGGAAACUGCCUGAUGGAGGGGGAUAACUACUGGAAACGGUAGCUAAUACCGCAUAACGUCGCAAGACCAAAGAGGGGGACCUUCGGGCCUCUUGCCAUCAGAUGUGCCCAGAUGGGAUUAGCUAGUAGGUGGGGUAAUGGCUCACCUAGGCGACGAUCCCUAGCUGGUCUGAGAGGAUGACCAGCCACACUGGAACUGAGACACGGUCCAG